rnacentral:rRNA from 1 species
GACGAACGCUGGCGGCGUGCCUAAUACAUGCAAGUCGAGCGCAGGAAGUCAUCCGAACCCUUCGGGGGGACGUUGACGGAAUGAGCGGCGGACGGGUGAGUAACACGUAAAGAACCUGCCCUCAGGUCUGGGAUAACCACGAGAAAUCGGGGCUAAUACCGGAUGGGUCAUCGGACCGCAUGGUCCGAGGAUGAAAGGCGCUCCGGCGUCGCCUGGGGAUGGCUUUGCGGUGCAUUAGCUAGUUGGUGGGGUAAUGGCCCACCAAGGCGACGAUGCAUAGCCGACCUGAGAGGGUGAUCGGCCACGCUGGGACUGGGACACGGCCCAGACUCCUACGGGAGGCAGCAGUAGGGAAUCUUCCACAAUGGACGAAAGUCUGAUGGAGCAACGCCGCGUGAACGAUGAAGGCCCUCGGGUCGUAAAGUUCUGUUGUAAGGGAAGAACAAGUGCCGCAGGCAAUGGCGGCACCUUGACGGUACCUUGCGAGAAAGCCACGGCUAACUACGUG